AUUGAACGCUGGCGGCAGGCCUAACACAUGCAAGUCGAACGGUAACAGGAAGACGCUUGCUUCUUUGCUGACGAGUGGCGGACGGGUGAGUCAUGUCUGGGAAACUGCCUGAUGGAGGGGGAUACCUACUGGAAACGGUAGCUAAUACCGCAUAACGUCGCAAGACCAAAGAGGGGGACCUUCGGGCCUCUUGCCAUCUGAUGUGCCCAGAUGGGAUUAGCUAGUAGGUGGGGUAACGGCUCACCUAGGCGACGAUCCCUAGCUGGUCUGAGAGGAUGACCAGCCACACUGGAACUGAGACACGGUCCAGACUCCUACGGGAGGCAGCAGUGGGGAAUAUUGCACAAAGGGCGCAAGCCUGAUGCAGCCAUGCCGCGUGUAUGAAGAAGGCCUUCGGGUUGUAAAGUACUUUCAGCGGGGAGGAAGGGAGUAAAGUUAAUACCUUUGCUCAUUGACGUUACCCGCAGAAGAAGCACCGGCUAACUCCGUG
rnacentral:rRNA from 1 species